UACGUAGGGGGCGAGCGUUGUCCGGAAUUAUUGGGCGUAAAGAGCGUGUAGGCUGUUCGGUAAGUCUGCCGUGAAAACCUGAGGCUCAACCUCGGGCGUGCGGUGGAUACUGCCGGGCUAGAGGACGGUAGAGGCGAGUGGAAUUCCCGGUGUAGCGGUGAAAUGCGCAGAUAUCAGGAAGAACACCCGUGGCGAAGGCGGCUCUCUGGGACGGUACUGACGCUGAGACGCGAAAGCGUGGGGAGCGAACAGG
rnacentral:rRNA from 1 species